rnacentral:ncRNA from 1 species
GUAAAAACAUUGACGAAGAAAGUACGUAUUGCCCGGGCGUUGUAGAGAGAGGUUUCUUGGCUGUAAAAACCUUACGCAAGCAUUACCGAAAGCUACUUCCGAGUUGCAAGCUUAAACUUGCCGUAAAACUACGUUACAGUAACUAAGAGACAGCUAACGCUGUAAAUUAGGGUGGUACCGCGACUAAUCCUCGUCCCUUUA